UUAUUUUAAAAUUAGUUUUUCUCUGAUUAAUCUAUGCAUUGUUUUCUUUAUGAUCUAGUUUUAUUUUUAUUAGCUUCGAGCUAGUUCUUUUUUUAGGUUUCUAAUUACCAAUUAUAAUCUUGUUUUGAUAUUUUGUUGGACUGUCAAGUUGUAUAAUUCUAUACAUGUUGUUGCUUUCUUGUUUCGUUCAUUUUACAGUAUAGGCUUCGUGUGUCCUUUACAUUUUUCGUAGUUGGUAUAGGUGAUCUAUUUAGCCAUGGUUUAGUGAUAAAUUUGGUCUUGGCACACAGUAGAAUUAAUUUCCAAGUGUU
rnacentral:lncRNA from 1 species